GACGAACGCUGGCGGCGUGCCUAAUACAUGCAAGUAGAACGCAGUUGCGAACGGGUGAGUAACGCGUAGGUAACUGCCUGGUAGCGGGGGAUAACUAUUGGAAACGAUAGCUAAUACCGCAUACUACCAGAUGGACCUGCGUUGUAUUAGCUAGUUGGUGGGGUAACGGCUCACCAAGGCAACGAUACUUAGCCGACCUGAGGAGGUGAUCGGCCACACUGGGACUGGGGAACGGGCCAGACUCCUGCGGGGAGCAGGAAUAGGGAAUCUUCGGCAAUGGGGGGAACCCUGACCGAGCAACGCCGCGUGAGUGAAGAAGGUUUUCGGAUCGGAAAGCUCUGUUGUGAAGGAAGCGGUACUUAACCAGAAAGGGACGGCUAACUACGUGCCAGCAGCCGUGGUAAUUC
rnacentral:rRNA from 1 species